rnacentral:lncRNA from 1 species
CUGGUAGGUUAUAGGCAUUAUUUGAAGAGCCAUGGCCCAAGAUGAGGAAUCUGGAGCCCAGGGAAGUAGAAUGAAGAACCUACAGUCUUGGGCAGGGACACAUUUCUCCCUUAAGCCUCUUGGUUCCAAUCUCACCUCUGGCUUUGUGCAGCAGACUGACCUGCUUCAUGGCCCUACAUUCUGGUAUUAUUGCUGGUAAUUUUGCAUGAACACUUCUGCCUCUAUUUGACAUUGUAACUCUCCAUGCAUUAUAGUCUCUGUUGAUUCUGUUUUUUUUUUAAGAUUUUAUUUAUUUAUUCAUGAGAGACAUGAGAGAGAGAGAGAGAGAGAGAGAGAGAGGCAGAGACACAGGCAGAGUGAGAAGCAGGCUCCAUGCAAGGGAGACUCGAUCCCAGGUUUCCAGGAUCAUGCCCUGGGUGGAAG